GGGACACAGCCGGGACACGGCGUACAGCCAACCGGGGAGAUCCCGCAGCCACACGAGACGGUGUCGGCUGAGGCAUCGCCGCACCUCUGCUCUUCCCAGGGCAGAGUCCCAGCCCCUCGGCGUUCCGUGGGAGAGCAGAGUUACUCACUCGUUACUCCUAAGAUAGCCUUCUGGUGAUACUUAGUCAUACGAACGAAAGAGGUGAUGACCAGUGAUGGUUGCAUUUAGUGCUAUUACAAGAACUUGAUACACACCUUGUUACGCUGCACUCCUUCCAAGUUACAUGGGGCCCACCAAAACCAUCAGAUUUAUAUUUUGAUUAAGUGGCCACCCAAGGAUCGAAGAGCUUGGCAUUAUCAGCCCAAUCCACUGGGCAAGUCCCAGAGGCGAUGGUGGCCCUCAGCAGCUGCACCGAUCGCAGAGCUGGCGAUGGCAAACCUCCACCAGGGCACUUCUCACUGGUCAUGACUUGGUAAACAAGAAUGGGCUGUAUUGACUUCUGCAUUAGAAGAACCAAAUCCUGAGCCUAGCAUGGACUCCUGUGUGUAAAUGAGUGCCUGAAAAGAAGAAGGAUUUGUGAAAAUUAAUAGAAAGCAGGACUGCAAGGGUCUGUCAUUGUUACUGCGUUCAGCCUCCUGCCCUCAGACACGAUCCGCUCUCCCAUGGGAAUAUUUGUGGGAGUUUUAAGGGAGCUUUUUGGUUUUGAUUGAUUUUGAUUCCCUGCUUUCUCUACAGACUGUAUUUAUAUCAAAUGUAAGUUUAUAGUGUAAUUGACUUUCUCAUUUAAGUAAUCAGCUCCCAUCUGAAUCUGCUGGGUUUGGCAAGGCUGGAAGUUGGGGUACAGUGGUGUAUGAGAACUGAGAAGAGUAUCUGGGCUCCAGUACUGGUGAAUCUACCUCUUUAGAAUUUAUUGCCACAAAUAAUUUAGGAAAACAAAUAUGACUUAUUUAAAUGGUUUGUUUUUCAUGGUA